rnacentral:rRNA from 1 species
AGAUGGGUUAAAUUGUUUAUAAGUACGUCUGAUCUCAGAAGCUAAGCAGGAUUGGGCCUAGUUAGUACUUGGAUGGGAGACCACCUAGGAAGACCAAGUGCUGCAGGCC